rnacentral:rRNA from 1 species
AAUGUACGCUGGCGGCACGCCUAACACAUGCAAGUCGAGCGAGGUACUUGUACCUAGCGGCAGACGGGUGCGUAACAUGUGGGAAAUCUGCCUUUUGGUUCGGAACAACAUGGGGAAACCUGUGCUAAUACCGGAUAAGUCCUUACGGAGAAAGAUUUAUCGCCGAAAGAUGAGCCCGCACUAGAUUAGCUUGUUGGUAAGGUAACGGCUUACCAAGGCUCCGAUCUUUAGCUGGUUUGAGAGGAUGAUCAGCCACAUUGGGACUGAGACACGGCCCAAACUCCUACGGGAGGCAGCAGUGGGGAAUCUUGCACAAUGGAGGAAACUCUGAUGCAGCGAUGCCGCGUGAGUGAAGAAAGGCCCUUGGGUUGUAAAGCUCUUUCGUC